rnacentral:rRNA from 1 species
AAACCUGCCUCAUAGACUGGGACAACUAUUGGAAACGAUAGCUAAUACCGGAUAACAGUAUUUCUCGCAUGAGAGAUAUUUAAAAGUUGGUUAUGCUAACACUAUGAGAUGGCUUUGCGGUGCAUUAGCUAGUUGGUGGGGUAAAGGCCCACCAAGGCGACGAUGCAUAGCCGACCUGAGAGGGUGAUCGGCCACACUGGGACUGAGACACGGCCCAG